rnacentral:rRNA from 1 species
ACCUUGAAAUACCACCCUUUAAUGUUUGAUGUUCUAACGUGGGCCCGUAAUCCGGGUUGCGGACAGUGUCUGGUGGGUAGUUUGACUGGGGCGGUCUCCUCCUAAAGAGUAACGGAGGAGCACGAAGGUUGGCUAAUCCUGGUCGGACAUCAGGAGGUUAGUGCAAUGGCAUAAGCCAGCUUGACUGCGAGCGUGACGGCGCGAGCAGGUGCGAAAGCAGGUCAUAGUGAUCCGGUGGUUCUGAAUGGAAGGGCCAUCGCUCAACGGAUAAAAGGUACUCCGGGGAUAACAGGCUGAUACCGCCCAAGAGUUCAUAUCGACGGCGGUGUUUGGCACCUCGAUGUCGGCUCAUCACAUCCUGGGGCUGAAGUAGGUCCCAAGGGUAUGGCUGUUCGCCAUUUAAAGUGGUACGCGAGCUGGGUUUAGAACGUCGUGAGACAGUUCGGUCCCUAUCUGCCGUGGGCGCUGGAGAACUGAGGGGGGCUGCUCCUAGUACGAGAGGACCGGAGUGGACGCAUCACUGGUGUUCGGGUUGUCAUGCCAAUGGCACUGCCCGGUAGCUAAAUGCGGAAGAGAUAAGUGCUGAAAGCAUCUAAGCACGAAACUUGCCCCGAGAUGAGUUCUCCCUGACCCUUUAAGGGUCCUGAAGGAACGUUGAAGACGACGACGUUGAUAGGCCGGGUGUGUAAGCGCAGCGAUGCGUUGAGCUAACCGGUACUAAUGAACCGUGAGGCUUAACCUUACAACGCCGAAG